UUCUGUAACGUAUGUGAAAAAAAUAAUAAUAAUAAUAAGAGGAAGCUGGGUAAUGUUUUAUGGGGGAGAGGGAUAGAGGAAGCUGUCAAACCGACCCGGAAAACCCGACCCAAAACUGCGAACCCGACCCAGACAUAUCUCCGAUUUUCGGCCACCUCACCGGCCAUGGAUGGUAGCAACGAAAGCUCCUGAGCCAGCCAUCACUUUCCCACCGUCACUGUCGCCAAAAACCAACCGAAACGCCGCCGUUUGAAGCGCGAAUAGUCGCAGCCAAAACCUAUCACGACCGUCGUUGAUUCCGUCGGAAUUAGGCCAUGCCAGACGGAGAAAUGGUAAGGAGGAAACAGAGGCUGUAACGGAGGUGGGGUAAAUGGAGGAUGAUAGAGAGAGUGCAAUCAACGGCCGUGCCGAGGGAGAGGAGGAGGAGGGUAAGGUUAUGGACGGCUGUGAUGGGCUUGAGGAUGUGGGGUCCAAUGAGAGGUAGUGAUGGUGGCGAUGUUGAUGUUGAUGCGUGGUAGAGGAUGAAUGUGAGGGAGAGGUAAGUGAGGAUGGAGAGAAUGAGGAAGUGUGGGGAGGAAGCUAGUGUUUGGUUCUGAGUCCAUGUGAAGUUGAGGAUUUGGGGGUGGUUUAUAGCAAAUAUUGGAGUGUUGCGGUAAUUGAAUAUGAAGCCAUGGCUGGUUUUUUGGGGGAGAAAGAUUUGGAAGAGAUGAUGUUCAGAGGAACGGGGGAGUUUAUAAAGUUUUGGGAUAAUGCGGAGGGUAUUUUGGACAUAUUGUUAUCUUAGCUUAAAUUUUAGGAAAAAGAUAAUCAAUAAUAAGCUCUUUUUUCAUGUCAAUUUAAAACUCUCCAUUAGGUUAAUUGUCACAUCAUUAAUUUUAGAUUAUAAACUUUAUAUUCGAACUUUGUAAGACCAUCAUUUCUCCCUUUUUAUUAAAAAAAAAAUUAACUUCUUGCAUGAUCUAGUUGGUCUCCUUUCAAAAGAAACCAAAAAAAAUAAAAUAAAAUAAAAGGAAAUAAAGCAUAUUCUUUAUCUUAAUUACUUUCAUUUGUUAUUGACAUGUACUCAUGCAUUGUGCUUUUGUAUACUUUAUCGAUAUGUUUUGCUUAAGGGAUAAAACUCAUUAUGUGGCAAAAUUUUAUUAGAGCUGGGAUUAUUUAUGUAUGUUCUAGUACUUUGAGCAUCUUACUAUACACUCGUCUAUAAAAUUUUAACAUUAAUUUUUACUACUCAUCGAAAUAUCAAAAUUGUUCUGUAACGUAUGUGAAAAAAUAAUAAUAAUAAUAAGAGGAAGCUGGGUAAUGUUUUAUGGGCGAGAGGGAUAGAGGAAGCUGUCAAACCGACCCGGAAAACCCGACCCAAAACUGCGAACCCGACCCAGACAUAUCUCCGAUUUUCGGCCACCUCACCGGCCAUGGAUGGUAGCAACGAAAGCUCCUGAGCCAGCCAUCACUUUCCCACCGUCACUGUCGCCAAAAACCAACCGAAACGCCGCCGUUUGAAGCGCGAAUUGUCGCAGCCAAAACCUAUCACGACCGUCGUUGAUUCCGUCGGAAUUAGGCCAUGCCAGACGGAGAAAUGGUAAGGAGGAAACAGAGGCUGUAACGGAGGUGGGGUAAAUGGAGGAUGAUAGAGAGAGUGCAAUCAACGGCCGUGCCGAGGGAGAGGAGGAGGAGGGUAAGGUUAUGGACGGCUGUGAUGGGCUUGAGGAUGUGGGGUCCAAUGAGAGGUGAUGAUGGUGGUGAUGUUGAUGUUGAUGCGUGGUAGAGGAUGAAUGUGAGGGAGAGGUAAGUGAGGAUGGAGAGAAUGAGGAAGUGUGGGGAGGAAGCUAGUGUUUGGUUCUGAGUCCAUGUGAAGUUGAGGAUUUGGGGGUGGUUUACAAGCCAAUAUUGGAGUGUUGAGGUAAUUGAAUAUGAAGCCAUGGCUGGUUUUUUUGGGGGAGGGGGAGAAAGAUUUGGAAGAGAUGAUGUUGAGAGGAACGGGAGAGC
rnacentral:lncRNA from 1 species